AGUGAACGCUGGCGGUAGGCCUAACACAUGCAAGUCGAACGGCAGCACAGUAAGAGCUUGCUCUUACGGGUGGCGAGUGGCGGACGGGUGAGGAAUACAUCGGAAUCUACUUUUUCGUGGGGGAUAACGUAGGGAAACUUACGCUAAUACCGCAUACGACCUACGGGUGAAAGCAGGGGAUCUUCGUACCUUGCGCGAUUGAAUGAGCCGAUGUCGGAUUAGCUAGUUGGCGGGGUAAAGGCCCACCAAGGCGACGAUCCGUAGAUGGUCUGAGAGGAUGAUCAGCCACACUGGAACUGAGACACGGUCCAGACUCCUACGGGAGGCAGCAGUGGGGAAUAGUGGACAAUGGGCGCAAGCCUGAUCCAGCCAUACCGCGUGGGUGAAGAAGGCCUUCGGGUUGUAAAGCCCUUUUGUUGGUAAAGAAAAGCAGCAGGUUAAUACCCCGCUGUUCUGACGGUACCCAAAGAAUAAGCACCGGCUAACUUCGUG
rnacentral:rRNA from 1 species